rnacentral:rRNA from 1 species
UACGUAGGGGGCUAGCGUUGUCCGGAAUCAUUGGGCGUAAAGAGCGUGUAGGCGGCUCGGUAAGUCCGCUCUGAAAGCCCGGGGCUCAACCCCGGGAGGCGGGCGGAUACUGUCGGGCUAGAGUCCGGAAGAGGCGAGUGGAAUUCCUGGUGUAGCGGUGAAAUGCGCAGAUAUCAGGAGGAACACCGGUGGCGAAGGCGGGUCUCUGGGCCGUAACUGACGCUGAGGAGCGAAAGCGUGGGGAGCGAACAGG